rnacentral:rRNA from 1 species
UACGUAGGGUGCGAGCGUUGUCCGGAAUCAUUGGGCGUAAAGCGCGUGUAGGCGGCUGAGUAAGUCUGCUCUGAAAGCCCGGGGCUCAACCCCGGGAGGCGGGUGGAUACUGCUCAGCUCGAGUCCGGAAGAGGAGUGUGGAAUUCCUGGUGUAGCGGUGAAAUGCGCAGAUAUCAGGAGGAACACCAAUGGCGAAGGCAGCACUCUGGGACGGUACUGACGCUGAGACGCGAAAGCGUGGGGAGCAAACAGG